AGAGUAUGAUCCUGGCUCAGCCUGAACGCUGGCGGCGUGGUUAAGACAUGCAAGUCGCACGGACGUAGCAAUACGUUAGUGGCGAACGGGUGAGUAAUGAAUCGCUAAUGUACCCCGGACUCCGGGAUAGCUGCCCGAAAGGGCAGGUAAUACCGGAUGACAUGACCGCACGGCAUCGUGUGGUUCUCAAAGGUCCGCCGGUCUGGGCGCAGGCGAUUUCGUAUCAGCUAGUUGGUGAGGUAACGGCUCACCAAGGCGACGACGCGUAGCCGGACUGAGAGGUUGGCCGGCCACAUCGGGACUGAGACACUGCCCGGACUCCUACGGGGGGCUGCAGUAACGAAUCUUCCCCAAUGCACGAAAGUGUGAGGGAGCGACGCCGCGUGUGGGACGAAGUCCUUCGGGAUGUAAACCACUGUCAGGGGAUACCAAGUUCUGAGGAUCCCCAGAGGAAGAGGCGGCUAACUCUGUGCCAGCAGCCGCGGUAAGACAGAGGCCUCAAGCGUUAGGCGGAAUCACUGGGCUUAAAGCGUGUGUAGGCGGAUCGUUAAGUGUCUUGUGAAAUCCCACGGCUCACCCGUGGAACUGCUGGGCAUACUGGCGAUCUUGGGCCAACUAGGGGCAACUGGAACAAGCGGUGGAGCGGUGAAAUGCGUAGAUAUCGCUUGGAACGCCAACGGUGAAAACAGGUUGCUGGGGUUGUGCCGACGCUGAGACACGAAAGCCAGGGGAGCAAACGGGAUUAGAUACCCCGGUAGUCCUGGCCCUAAACGAUGUCCACUAGAUUGCGGCGGGUUUGACCCCGUCGCGGUCGAAGCAAAAGUGUUAAGUGGACCGCCUGGAAGUACGGUCGCAAGGCUAAAACUCAAAGGAAUUGACGGGGCUCACACAAGCGGUGGAGCAUGUGGUUCAAUUCGAAGCAACGCGCAGAACCU
rnacentral:rRNA from 1 species